CGGAGUCAGGCGCAGCCCUGGUCCCGCACCCCGACCGUCCGCCGCGCUCGCCCGGGACCCUCCGCUGACCCUGUGGUCCCCAGCCUGUGCGGAGCCGGCCACCCGGCUCCCGGCCUCCAGCAGUCUCCCCCGCGGGGGUGGGGGAGCUUCAGAUAUUAUGCAAAAGAAACAAAACCCUCAAACACCACUGUCAGUGAAACUAGAAGAUAGUUGUGACUUGAAGAUGAACAGAAAAUGUUAGAGCCAGAGGAACAAUUACGUUGUUACAGUAACAGCCACUUGUCUUGCAAGACUAAGAAAGGAGUAACGGAUGAAAGAGGCCCAGACCAGAGAGAGGAGCAGCCUGCCAACCGAAAUCACAGCAUCAGUGCUUCGAGCAAGAGAAACAGACCUCUUGUGGCCAUGAGAGAAAUCAGCCUCAGGACAAACCUGAACCAUGGUGGCAGAGUGGCAAGAUGGAAAAACCAUCGUGCCUGAAGAAAUACUGGAGUCACCGAAUUAAGUUGAACUAAACAACCCUGAAUCCCACCUCCCUCAGGAUUUCUUUCUUUCUUUUUUUUUUUAUUAAGGUAUUAGAUGUGUACAUAUCUUACCAUUGCCCCACCCCACCCCACUCCCAUAUAUGCCCUCACCCCCCAGAGUUUUGCGUCCAUUGGUUAUGCUUAUAUGCAUGCAUGCAAGUCCUUUGAUUGAUCUCUUAUCUUCCCCACCUCUCCCUAACCUUCCUGCUGUAAUUUGACAGACUGUUUGAUGCUUUACU